AUUCUGGCUCAGGAUGAACGCUGGCGGCGUGCUUAACACAUGCAAGUCGAACGGGAUCUGGUCAGCUUGCUGACUGGUGAGAGUGGCGAACGGGUGAGUAAUGCGUGACCAACCUGCCCCAUGCUCCAGAAUAGCUCUUGGAAACGGGUGGUAAUGCUGGAUGCUCCAACUUGACGCAUGUCUUGUUGGGAAAGUGUUUAGUGGCAUGGGAUGGGGUCGCGUCCUAUCAGCUUGUAGGCGGGGUAAUGGCCCACCUAGGCUUCGACGGGUAGCCGGCCUGAGAGGGCGGACGGCCACAUUGGGACUGAGAUACGGCCCAGACUCCUACGGGAGGCAGCAGUGGGGAAUAUUGCGCAAUGGGGGGAACCCUGACGCAGCGACGCCGCGUGCGGGAUGAAGGCCUUCGGGUUGUAAACCGCUUUUGAUUGGGAGCAAGCUUUCGGGUGAGUGUACCUUUCGAAUAAGCGCCGGCUAACUACGUGCCAGCAGCCGCGGUAAUACGUAGGGCGCAAGCGUUAUCCGGAAUUAUUGGGCGUAAAGAGCUUGUAGGCGGUUCGUCGCGUCUGGUGUGAAAGCCCAUCGCUUAACGGUGGGUUUGCGCCGGGUACGGGCGGGCUAGAGUGCAGUAGGGGAGACUGGAAUUCCCGGUGUAACGGUGGAAUGUGUAGAUAUCGGGAAGAACACCAAUGGCGAAGGCAGGUCUCUGGGCUGUUACUGACGCUGAGAAGCGAAAGCGUGGGGAGCGAACAGGAUUAGAUACCCUGGUAGUCCACGCCGUAAACGGAGUACGGCCGCAAGGCUAAAACUCAAAGAAAUUGACGGGGGCCCGCACAAGCGGCGGAGCAUGCGGAUUAAUUCGAUGCAACGCGAAGAACCUUACCUGGGCUUGACAUGUGCCUGUCGACUGCAGAGAUGUGGUUUCCCUUCGGGGCAGGUUCACAGGUGGUGCAUGGUCGUCGUCAGCUCGUGUCGUGAGAUGUUGGGUUAAGUCCCGCAACGAGCGCAACCCUCGCCCUGUGUUGCCAGCGGGUUAUGCCGGGAACUCACGGGGGACCGCCGGGGUUAACUCGGAGGAAGGUGGGGAUGACGUCAGAUCAUCAUGCCCCUUACGUCCAGGGCUUCACGCAUGCUACAAUGGCCGGUACAACGGGAUGCGACAUGGUGACAUGGAGCGGAUCCCUUAAAACCGGUCUCAGUUCGGAUCGUAGUCUGCAACUCGACUACGUGAAGGCGGAGUCGCUAGUAAUCGCGAAUCAGCAACGUCGCGGUGAAUGCGUUCCCGGGCCUUGUACACACCGCCCGUCAAGUCAUGAAAGUGGGCAGCACCCGAAGCCGGUGGCCUAACCCUUUUGGGAUGGAGCCGUCUAAGGUGAGGCUCGUGAUUGGGACUAAGUCGUAACAAGGUAGCCGUACCGGAAGGUGCGGCUG
rnacentral:rRNA from 1 species